UUUGCUGCAUAUGUUGCCUGGCAUUUAUGGAAUGAAAGAAACAGGAGGGUGUUCCAACACAAGUUGUUGUUGCCUCAUCAAAUUUACAUGCUGGUGAUUGAUGACAUUAGUCUAUUCAGGGAGGCUUUCAGAGUGUAA
rnacentral:rRNA from 1 species